rnacentral:rRNA from 1 species
GACGAACGCUGGCGGCGUGCUUAACACAUGCAAGUCGAACGGAAAGGCCCUGCUUUUGUGGGGUGCUCGAGUGGCGAACGGGUGAGUAACACGUGAGUAACCUGCCCUUGACUUUGGGAUAACUUCAGGAAACUGGGGCUAAUACCGGAUAGGAGCUCCUGCUGCAUGGAGGGGGUUGGAAAGUUUCGGCGGUUGGGGAUGGACUCGCGGCUUAUCAGCUUGUUGGUGGGGUAGUGGCUUACCAAGGCUUUGACGGGUAGCCGGCCUGAGAGGGUGAGCGGCCACAUUGGGACUGAGAUACGGCCCAGACUCCUACGGGAGGCAGCAGUGGGGAAUAUUGCACAAUGGGCGGAAGCCUGAUGCAGCAACGCCGCGUGCGGGAUGACGGCCUUCGGGUUGUAAACCGCUUUCGCCUGUGACGAAGCGUGAGUGACGGUAAUGGGUAAAGAAGCACCGGCUAACUACGUG